UACGGAGGGUGCAAGCGUUAUCCGGAUUCACUGGGCGUAAAGCGUGCGUAGGCGGUUCGUUAAGUGCGUCGUGAAAGCCCCGGGCUCAACCUGGGAAUGGCGAUGGAAACUGGCGGGCUGGAGUAUGGCAGAGGGGGGUGGAAUUCCGCGUGUAGCAGUGAAAUGCGUAGAGAUGCGGAGGAACACCGAUGGCGAAGGCAGCCCCCUGGGCCAAUACUGACGCUCAGGCACGAAAGCGUGGGGAGCAAACAGG
rnacentral:rRNA from 1 species